AGAUUCUCAGUGUGUUUCAUGGUACGUUUUGUGCCCAUUGCCUUGCAGAGAUGACUCAUGUGGUGGAACGUCAUGUUUCUCAGGUUUAUACGGUGCUCCAGAAAUUCACAAAGGAAGAAGAUGUCCACAUUUCAUAAGAUUUUAUCAUCUAAUUCUGUACCAGUGAAUACUACUCAAAAACAGGUGUCAAGUAGCAAGGGAGAUGAAUGCAAGUUAGAGUGCGGCAUAAGGAGAAUAUCUCUCUCACAGUUGUACUUAACAGUUUUGAAACCUUCAGCCCAUCAUUUCACAUCUCUGAACUAAUGAGAAACUUCUAAAUUGAAUUUGUACAAAGCAAAUCCACCGAGUCAGUGACUUUAAUAUAUCUUGAGUGGCCUGUUGGGAGAGCAGCUGGAGAGGCAGACGGCAGUCUGAGGGGUAUUGCACCAUUUACCUUCAACAUCCAACUGCCAGUGCCUGGGCAAGGCACGGGAUUUUGCCUGUGUGUAACAUACAGCAUGUGGAAAGAAACAGCCUUCUCUAGGGAGUGAUGUGAAGUAGGGGCUGAGCUUCUACCCUGCAGUGUCCUGUAUUUGCAACAGAGAGAAUGCCAGAGGAAGAUGCACUGACCCUAUAGCUACCCUACAGACACCUCUGCUGUCUUUUACCCCCUUGUGUUGUCCUUUUUCUUGAGGAACGCUGCCUUGUUCAGGCUCUGCAGGUGGAAGGGACUCUGUAUGUUCAGGCUUAUGCUUAUUUACUUUAUUUCUGUAUCCUUUCUGAGCACGCUCUGAAGUUGUAGCCAUUACUUCCAUUCUGAACCCAAGUGAGACUUGUGUUUUAGUAAAACGCACCAUUUUAGAUGGGACAUCACAAAAGGAGAAUUUACAGUAAUCUGCUCUCAUGUUUCAUUACUCAGCGUGAAAUUUAUGUACCUGGUUUCCUUAUUUUAAGGCAUUUGCUUUUAGCUUCCCACCACUGGUACUUAAGUUUUUCUCUGCUUGUUACACUUCUCUCAUCUUUCCUUCCUCUCUUUCAUGUUCCUUAAUUUCUUCUAAAAUUGUUCAUCCAAUUUUUCCCCUUUCUUGCUUUUUGUUGGGUAAGAGCAAUCACAAAUCAGCAUCAAACAGCUGUAUGAGUUCCAGCAACUGUUUUUUAUCUCUGGAGAUUUUAAACAUUGUCAGAAUAUCCUGAUAAUAUGCUGAUUGAAAUUCCCCUCUGAAGUCUCAAUUUUAUACAUACCGUUGUUUCCCUUGUACCUCUUUGCAGACAGAUCCUUAGUGAUGUUUUUGUUUAACCCCUGGAGAAGACACAAAAUGGAAAACAAGCAAGUAACAAGCAUUUCCAAAUCCCAGUGCUAUAAAUCUGUUUUGUUUCCCUUCUGUUUGCAAAAAUGGCAAAUUAUUUAUUUUAUUAUCUGAUAUCACACCAAUAACAAGAGGAGUUUGUUCCAUGAAGCCCAAUUAUGAAAAAUUGCCUGAGAUAAAAUGACUCACAGUGGACCUGUUUUUCAAGGCCCUGUUGCAAAGAAAUAUUUACCUGCUUGAAAUGAGGAGAAUUUACAUUCGUGCUGGCAGCCAAAAACAUCCAAUCAGAAGAAAAAAGAGAGAUAAAAUGCCAGUCAUUCCCAGUUGUUUGGACCGUUUUUGUUGAUGUAUGAAGCCUGGUUUCACCCUAAAAGUGGAAGUUUAGUUGCUUUGGCCAGUGGAGGAGGUCGGGCCAUUGGGAUGGGUUAGAGGACCCCCUGAAGUCCUUUCCAAACUGUUUUCCUGAAAAGCUGAGGACAGGUUUGUCCAUGUUACUCAGACGUUUUCUGUCCAGAUGUGAGAAAGAAAUGGCUCAGAUGGACUUGUUUCUUCUGGGUUUUGCGUUUUCAUCAUGUAGUAGUAAAUUAGCUUAAAAAGCUACUGUCAUUCCCCAUGUGCGUGCGUGAGCUGUUCGUGGAAGGGAAAUGUCAGUAAUGUAUGUCAGCAAUAAGCUUAGUGCCUGACUUAUUUUAUUCAGUCCUAUCCAUCUGCAAACGGCCGGAUUCCCUCUUGUGCAGCAAUACAAAAUGGAAGAAGCAGAGGUCAAACUUAGAUGUAGCAGAAGAUUAUGAUUUUUUUUUCCGUAUUAUCACCAGAGAUGGAUAACAUCCUGAUGUCUAUUUUCUAAUACAUCCCCAGACCCUUCAGACUUUGGAAAUGGCUGAUGAAACGUGUGGGUUCAUUAGCAGACUUCCAUAUCAGGCUGGAGAUAUUCUGAGCAGACGUACGUAGGCAUAUAUACAGAGACAAGUCUAUGGAGGGAAUGACUAAGUCAGCCUGCAGCCACUUCAAAAUGCUCUGUGCCAUCCGGACCAGACUCCUGUACCUCCUGCAAACCACAGGGCUGAAUUUUCCCUGUCCUGGCUGCUCAUGGGUGGAUGCUCAUGGCUGUGCUGGCUGGGUGCCCUGUGCAGAGGGGGAAGGUGGUUUGCGAGGGCACAAAAUUUUUCCUCUCUUGUCUUUUUUCCUCUCCUUUUUGUCAGUCAGUGUGUUCUUGGGAGAAAUAAAUGCUUUACGGCUGGCUGAAGUGGUUAAUGUUGGUGAGUAAUAGCAGAGGAAUGUGACUAUGGCUUACCAGGAUGGGCUUCCAUGGUGACCAGCGGAGGGGUGGGCUCUGGCAGGAGCACCUUGGUGGGAAUCACACACGUAUGCAUAUUUAUACGUGGUAUAUUUGUAUGUAGCUCUGUGUGUGCACAUGUUGCGGGAAGGUUGUUCUGAAAAUGCCUGUGAUGGUCUCCUUUGAAGUCAGAAAAUUGCCUUUUCUGUCUCCUUUGUAUCUUCAAGACCAGCAGCAGAUAAAUCCCAUCCUCCUGAAAAAUUCAUGUUCACUCCGGGAAUUUCUUUGGCCUCUAGGCAGCACAUUUAGAAAUGUACUUUUAAAAGAAGAGUGAGAAAGACUUGCCGAGCCGUCUCUGAGCCUUGCUGAGGCUCCUGGCCUGAGGUGAUCCUCUUCCCCCUGGCUUACCACAACAGCCCAGGCUUUCCGGCUCCGCUCAGGCCAGAGUUUGCCUAGGCUUUGCUGGAGACAAAGCCUUGAUGCUUGAUGCAGCCCAGCUGGGCUGGCUUGCCACGUGCUGUGGUGUGCUAUGUACCUUGUGGUGCCUCUUGGAGAUCCACCUGGUCCAAAGGGAGGUGCUGGAGACACCUCCAUGGUCUUUGCUAGGUGUGGUGUCAGCAACUCUCACUGUUUGUGGGGGGGCUUCUUUGUGGGGAGUAAGAACGAUGAGAAGAACAAUUCCUGCUCCAAAAAUUGCAGAUAGUGAGAAUGACAGAAGCCCUGGCUAACAACAGCAAGAGCACGCAUCUAACGUAGGAAUGUUAUUGCCUGAAGCAAAUACAAAUCUGUGCAGAGAGAAACCAAAAUAAUGGUGCUUUAGCAAUGAUUCAGCGCCUCCAGGGUGCCUCUGGGUCUGGAGGGGGCCUGCAGCCCUGGAGGAUGUCCUACGGACAGAAUGGCUGCAGGGAGCUUAAUUUUGGGGAUUUCCACCCAGAUGAAGCAGCAGAGGUGACUGAGGUGCUGGGGGUUGCACUGCCAUGGACAGGCCGAUGUCCUCUGCCACACCGAGCCUGCAUGAGCUCGUGACAAGGCUGCUACAGGCCACAGAUGAAGAGGAUUUUCUAGUUUUUGAUUUAUGGGGAGAACCUCCCUAAGAAAAGCAACUGUCUUCUGUUCUAAAGGUUUCCUCCAACCCAGGGUGCUGGAGUAACUGUCUGGAAACUUCAGCUACCAGGGGAUUUUUUUGGGGCAGUCUUAUGUGUUACCUGACAUAAGUCUGGUUUCAGAGGUGGUGAGCCAGUUUCAGCUGGUCUUUUAUUCCAUGUAUCUUUCCAUCCAUCAGUCCCUUCUCCCCAGUAAACAUCAAGAAAGUUCAGCUCUGAUGGAGAGACCUCAAAGACGAUGAACUCAUGUGGGCAUCGUGACACUUACUCUCUGGAUAGAGACACGAAUUCUUGUUGGUGCACAGUGACAGGUUGCAGUGUGAGCUCAAAUAUAUGUGUAGCUUGGAAGCAGCUAGGCACUUGCUGUCCUUUCUUCUGCUGAUAGGUAAGAGUGUGGCCAGAUGCUGCUGGAAGUGUGGUGGUAGCUGGAGAGUGCCAACAGGUGUUUGGGUGCUGUCAUGAAACUCGUGCAAGGUGCAGCCAGCCAGCCGCUUACCCUGCAGCUUCACGUUUGGCUGCAGUUAAACACCUCGGCACUGCUAUUCGGAGGGGUGAGCCUGUCCUCUCUGGGCCACUGGUGUCAGUGAUAUCUGUGCAGCUGCCAAGUGGAACAAGCUUCUGGACUGGCUCAAAACUGCCUUAAAAAAGAGUUUCCUUGCAAGCUGACCUGACUGACUGCAUGGAAAUGCCUGGCAGUGCUAGUACAAGGGAGGCAGUGAGUGUACCCAGCUGGCAAAGGACACUGCAACCCCUUACAGCUAUGCUGCUGUCCUGUUGUGGCUUUUUCUGCCUCUGACUCAAUGUAUUUAUCACCAGCCUUUGUCAUCUUGGUCCUGCCCUGCCACAGCUGCAGCAUGAGCCAGUAUCAGAUUCACUCGUCUUGGGGCAGGCUGGGAGGAGGGUGAUGCUGAGACAGCUGUGUUACAUGGGCACACCACCACUGCUGUCUUCUCUCUGCAUCUGUACCCACCGCUUUUCUCGUCUCUUUCUUUUUUAUCCAUGCAUCAGCUGCAUUAAGCACUUGUUAUUCUUGUUAUUCCUGGCCAUGGUGUCUGGCUUUGUCAGGUCGGAAGGCUGUUGUUCCUCAUUCAGAUAAAUCUAAGUGUUAAAGCCAGAUAUAAAGAAAACAGUUGGAGCCCUCUUGGGCUGGGGUCCCUCAAUUGAAAGAAACAUGGGGUUAAACAAUUACAAAAAGCUUCUUGCCACUGGUAGGGUUUGAGGAGGGGUUUGUCUGAGGCAGGGUUUCUCUGAAGAGCAGCAGGCUGAUGUGCUGGGAGCCCCACACAAAGAGCUAUUGCCAUGCUCCCCGAUGUUCCCAUAAGCAGUCCUACACGUCUGCAGUGAUGAGCGCGGUCUGAUUCCUGUCUGGCUCAUUUCCUCCUCUGUGUAAACUUUACUUUUCAUGAAUCCUCACGAGUUCCCAAAGUUUGCUUUCCGUGAGAAUCCAUGUGACCAGAACUGGAUUAUUUGCCUGUUUGAGAGAAGCAAACACAGCUGGAACAAAUUCGUUUUUAUUUUUUUUAAAUCAGAAUGAAUAUUUGUGAAAAUAUUUUUGGUUGUGUUCCCUCCGGUAUGCCUUUUCUGACUGAUACCUUCACAGAACUAUAGAAAAACUCCAUUUCAUUCUUCUGAUAAGGCCACUCCAUGUCUGAGCUUCUAAUUGUGAUAAAAAAUCUUCUUUGACAGGCCUGCCAAUUUAAAAGUCAGCCUCAGUUUAUUGAAAUGAAAGAAAGGAAUUGAACUUCAGCUCUCCCAGAGAAUCAUUCUUCUCAUAUCCCGAGCACACAUUAGCUCUGGAUCUCUGUGGAAUACAAUAGGAGAGAGGUUAUUGAAUUGAAGUUUCAAGCACAGAAGCAGAUCUCUGGCCAAUUACAUUGUUGCUGGGGUUGAAAUUGGACUAGUCAAAAAAAAAAAAAAAAGGAUAUCAAACUGCAAACCAAAGCAAUGCAGAAUCAAACAUCUUCUGAGAUGAAAUGCUUCUCUGUCUGGAAAGGUGAGGGAACCGAUACUGCGUUUUUUUGUCUUUAAUAUCUGUCUGUUCUUCCUGCUUUGCUUCCUGACUUUGUCUCCUUUUUGUGCCAUAAUCUCUAUUGAGCGGCUGCUUAGAAUUCAGUGAUAGCGCCGAGUGUUUGAUGUCGCUGGGAGAACUUCAGAGUGCUUCUGCCUUGUAAUUACCAGGCUUGCUGAGGGGCAGCUGGGCAGCAUAUAUAGCUGCUCAGCACACGUGCUGCUUCUGGAUCUCGUAAGGUCAGCCCCGGGCACUGCCAGCACAGGCCAGAGGAGGACAGGCAGCACGUCAAACAUCCCAUCCAUUGCAGUGAGACCAAGCUUCGUUCCUGAGUUGGUGAUGACUCUGUCACACUCCCAUUUCUGUUGGGAUUUAUGCUCUAUUCUUCAUAUGAGACGUCGAGCCGUGAUUUGCUUCAAAUGUUCAACUCGGUGACAAGUUUUACUACAUUUGCUUCCCUUCGCGCCGUACCUUCCCCCAGGCAUCCUGUGCACCUCUAUGCCAGACACACGUGUGCCAUCUGGGAGGCAGCCCGUAGGUGGCCGUGGAGCCCACACGUAUAGCGAUCAGCUUCAAGAUGCCUGCAUUAAUCAUCAGAUUGACUCCCUUGUGUUGCGUUUGGGAAGAAAGUCUGAAUUGCUUAAUUUGUCUAAUUAUUUACAGUCCUAUUUAUAUCAAGUUUUCUGACACAAAUUGUUUCUUCUGAUGCAAAGUAAAUGACUCAGUUUUUACAGACCUUUGAGUAGGGUGCCAUCUGCGUUUCUGUUAUCUCAGGAAAUUUUCAUUUUGCUAUUCCAUUCACACACCACCACAAAUGUGAAUUAUGUGAUGCAAAAAGCCACCAUUGGGUCAAAAGUACCAAGAUACAGGCAACCUCAAUAUGCUGAGAUAAAAUGUUCUUGGGGAAAAGAAAAAAAAAGACUCAAUGACUUGCAGAAAUGUCUGUAGCUUCAGAGGGUGUUUCUGCUCUUUGUGUCAGACAAUGGAGAAUUCAGAGCAAGUUGUCUGGAAGUUGUGUUUGUUCAUUCAAAUGAGAAAUGAGAUUGUGUCGCUCUAGUUUAUACAUUGAUUGAAAAAAGUAAUUUCAAGGUUCUCAGAACAUUAACUGCUUUUGGACGUGCCAAGUGCUGAGGACCCAACUGUUCACACUACAGA